CAGGCCAAUACAAAAAAAUUCAGAAAACCUUAAGAGAUAUUUGUAGAAAGUAAACUCCUUGAGGACAGGAAUUGUUUUUGGUUUUGUUUGUACAUCUCCAAACCAAACACAGUUCCUUAUACCCAGCAGGCACUAGAAAUACUUGAGAAAUGGAAUAGAAUAGAACAGAGUAAAAUGGAAUGGAAUAUGGACAUGAUACAUCUUUGAUGAUCCUCUCAAAUUGAACAAUGACAUCAUAGGCAAGAAAAUGACCUGAGCUCAAAAUGCUCAAUUCAAACAUGUAUUAAAUAUUUACAAUGUAAGGUACUAUGCUCUGUGACUCUGUGACACAACAAUAAGGAAUCUGAGCUAAAACUAAAGAAUGCUACCUUAAGCAGGGACUUGAACUGCCCUGAAGUUGGGCAUAGCUCUUGAGUCUUUUCUGCUUUGUUUUGUUUUAGAGAAAGACGAACUGUCCUAUUAUUACCCCGUGUUUAAUACCUCAGGUUUCUUGUAACUAUUUGUCAUUUAUUUUAUUAUAGACUUUUGAUUUGGAGAAACUGAAACAAUAUAUUCACAAUUGGUGGAGAAGAUUCUGAGUUCCAUCUUUGCUUGUAAUGCUUUUCAGCUCGGUGCCCUGGGAUUCUGCUAUUAAAUUCUCCACUGUGGAAAAAAACAGAUUUUGGUGCUCAGGAAAUUAUUUUGAGGACAUAACCUGUAUUUAGAAAAGAUGCGUCAAAAAUUUCUUCAUUUUUGGAUUCCAACCCAAAAUGGAAAGGAGUCUCCAGAAUCUGAAUAGCAAGACU
rnacentral:lncRNA from 1 species